AGCCUUCUGUAUCCGUGUUGAGAUUUCGUCAGUGAUCAAACCAUUGAGGUUGAUGCAACUCCCCAAAUAAGUGAAGUA
rnacentral:pre_miRNA from 1 species